rnacentral:tRNA from 1 species
GGACUGAUAGCUCAGCAGGAUAGAGCACCCGCCUUCUAAGCGGGUGGUCGCUGGUUCGAGUCCAGCUCAGUCCA